rnacentral:rRNA from 1 species
CCUACGGGAGGCAGCAGUGAGGAAUAUUGGUCAAUGGACGAGAGUCUGAACCAGCCAAGUAGCGUGAAGGAUGACUGCCCUAUGGGUUGUAAACUUCUUUUAUAAAGGAAUAAAACGAGGCACGUGUGCCUUUUUGCAUGUACUUUAUGAAUAAGGAUCGGCUAACUCCGUGCCAGCAGCCGCGGUAAUACGGAGGAUCCGAGCGUUAUCCGGAUUUAGUGGGUUUAAAGGGAGCGUAGAUGGGUUGUUAAGUCAGUUGUGAAAGUUUGCGGCUCAACCGUAAAAUUGCAAUUGAUACUGGCAGUCUUGAGUACAGUUGAGGUAGGCGGAAUUCGUGGUGUAGCGGUGAAAUGCUUAGAUAGCACGAAGAACCCCGAUUGCGAAGGCAGCUUACUAAACUGUGACUGACAUUGAUGCUCGAAAGUGUAGGUAUCAAACAGGAUUAGAUACCCUUGUAGUC